CUGACAGUCCUUGGGAAAGGUGGGGUCCCUGCCCUCUAAGAAAGGCUGAGCGUGCCCAGGAGCUAUGGAACAAAAACCACUUAGCAGGAUGCCCGGCCUCUGAGGACCAGUGGGUCAUUUGUGAAGAGAAAGGAGUUUCCAGAUAGAGGGAAGGGGCAGGUGUCAGAUUAAGACAGCCUAGCUCACAAAGUGGCUGAAGACACAGCUGCCAGGAGCCAGCGCCCACAGCUCUGUCUGGAUCUUGAUCUGAAUAAGACACCUUUGUAAGCAGACAGGAGACAUGGGGGCCGAGGGGCGGGGAGAAAUGGAGUCCGGGCCGGGCAUUGCCAGGUACCAAGGAACUACCAUUAACUUCGUUGUAGGUGGACAAUGCCACUGUGGUU
rnacentral:lncRNA from 1 species